UACAGAGGUCCCAAGCGUUGUUCGGAUUCACUGGGCGUAAAGGGUGCGUAGGCGGUCGGGUAAGUCUGAUGUGAAAUCUCACAGCUUAACUGUGAAACUGCAUUGGAUACUAUCCGGCUCGAGGAAUGGAGGGGAGACUGGAAUACUUGGUGUAGCAGUGAAAUGCGUAGAUAUCAAGUGGAACACCAGUGGCGAAGGCGAGUCUCUGGACAGUUCCUGACACUGAGGCACGAAGGCUAGGGGAGCAAACGGG
rnacentral:rRNA from 1 species